AGUGGUAGCUCAGUGGUAGAGUGCCUGUCUAGCAAGCACAAGGACCUGGGUUCAAGACCCAGCACUG
rnacentral:tRNA from 1 species